AGGCGAAUACUCCGGGAUAGAACAUUUCCCGGACUCAUAAUCCGUUGGUCGCUGGUUCAAGCCCAGCACGGCCUACCA
rnacentral:tRNA from 1 species